rnacentral:rRNA from 1 species
UACGGGGGGGGCAAGCGUUGUUCGGAAUUACUGGGCGUAAAGGGCUCGUAGGCGGCCAACUAAGUCAGACGUGAAAUCCCUCGGCUUAACCGGGGAACUGCGUCUGAUACUGGGUGGCUUGAAUCCGGGAGAGGGAUGCGGAAUUCCAGGUGUAGCGGUGAAAUGCGUAGAUAUCUGGAGGAACACCGGUGGCGAAGGCGGCAUCCUGGACCGGUAUUGACGCUGAGGCGCGAAAGCUAGGGGAGCAAACGGG